AGUGGCAGCCAUUGUAAAUAAGU
rnacentral:siRNA from 1 species